rnacentral:tRNA from 2 species
GGCCAGGUAGCUCAGCUGGUAGAGCAGAGGACUGAAAAUCCUUGUGUCGGCGGUUCGAUCCCGUCCCUGGCCA